rnacentral:rRNA from 1 species
UCGAUGGAGAGUUUGAUCCUGGCUCAGGACGAACGCUGGCGGCGUGCUUAACACAUGCAAGUCGAGCGAGGUCCAACCAGCCGCAAGGCUGGGGAAGACCGAGCGGCGAACGGGUGAGUAACACGUGAGCAACCUACCCCGAAGACUGGGAUAACACCGGGAAACCGGUGCUAAUACCGGAUAUCCCCACCGGACCGCAUGGUCUGGCGAGGAAAGGAUUCUGCUUCGGGAGGGGCUCGCGGCCUAUCAGCUAGUUGGUGGGGUAACGGCCCACCAAGGCUUCGACGGGUAGCUGGUCUGAGAGGACGACCAGCCACACUGGGACUGAGACACGGCCCAGACUCCUACGGGAGGCAGCAGUGGGGAAUCUUGCGCAAUGGGCGAAAGCCUGACGCAGCAACGCCGCGU